rnacentral:lncRNA from 1 species
CGAUCUAGGUUAGUCCCGGAACCUUCAUUUUUCUUCUUGCCAUUUAGGUGCCCUUUCUUCCCCAUUUUUCUUCUGGUUUGGUCCCCCGCAAACUUUUCACCCCUUGUCUCGCCUGAUUUCUCCGGGAUCUUUAGGGUCUUCAUUUGAAAUAUCUUCCAGCACCUCUGCCUCUAGUGGUUCCAGGAGUUCGUCCGCGUCAGCCCCCCAAGACCCCCACACUGUAGACAAACCCAC